rnacentral:rRNA from 1 species
GUCUUUUUGAUUAUAAUUUAAAGUUUAACCUGCCCACUGAAAUUUAAAUGGCCGCAGUAUUUUGACUGUGCAAAGGUAGCAUAAUCAUUAGUUUCUUAAUUAGAAGCUGGUAUGAAUGGUUGGACGAGAGACUUACUGUCUCAAUUUAUAUUUUAAAAUUUUAUAUUUAAGUUAAAAAGCUUAAAUAGUUUUAAAAGACGAGAAGACCCUAUAGAGUUUUAUAUUUUAAGUAAUUUUUAUUUUAGAAAUUUUUUUAUUAUUUAAUUUAUUUUAUUGGGGUGAUAUAUAAAUUAGUAAAACUUUAUAUUGUUAAAAACAUUAAUUUAUGAAUUUAUGAUCCAUUAUUAAUGAUUAAAAGAAAAAAUUACCUUAGGGAUAACAGCGUUAUUUUUUUUUAGAGUUCAAAUCGAAAAAAAAGUUUGCGACCUCGAUGUUGGAUUAAAAUUAAUUUAUGGUGUAGAAGCUAUAAUAUUAGGUCUGUUCGACCUUUAAAAUUUUACAUGAUCUGAGUUUAAACCGGCGUGAGCCAGGUUGGUUUCUAUCUUUAAAUAAUUUAAAUAUUUUAGUACGAAAGGACCAAUUAUUUUUAAUAUUUAAUUAAUUUUGAUUA